CUGGCGGCAGGCCUAACACAUGCAAGUCGAGCGCACCCCUUCGGGGGCGAGCGGCGGACGGGUUAGUAACGCGUGGGAACAUACCCAAUGGUACGGAAUAGCCUCGGGAAACUGAGAGUAAUACCGUAUGUGCCCUUCGGGGGAAAGAUUUAUCGCCAUUGGAUUGGCCCGCGUUAGAUUAGAUAGUUGGUGGGGUAAUGGCCUACCAAGUCUACGAUCUAUAGCUGGUUUUAGAGGAUGAUCAGCAACACUGGGACUGAGACACGGCCCAGACUCCUACGGGAGGCAGCAGUGGGGAAUCUUAGACAAUGGGCGCAAGCCUGAUCUAGCCAUGCCGCGUGUGUGAUGAAGGCCUUAGGGUCGUAAAGCACUUUCGCCAGAGAUGAUAAUGACAGUAUCUGGUAAAGAAACCCCGGCUAACUCCGUGCCAGCAGCCGCGGUAAUACGGAGGGGGUUAGCGUUGUUCGGAAUUACUGGGCGUAAAGCGUACGUAGGCGGAUCAGAAAGUAUGGGGUGAAAUCCCAGGGCUCAACCCUGGAACUGCCUCAUAAACUCCUGGUCUUGAGUUCGAGAGAGGUGAGUGGAAUUCCAAGUGUAGAGGUGAAAUUCGUAGAUAUUUGGAGGAACACCAGUGGCGAAGGCGGCUCACUGGCUCGAUACUGACGCUGAGGUACGAAAGUGUGGGGAGCAAACAGGAUUAGAUACCCUGGUAGUCCACACCGUAAACGAUGAAUGCCAGUCGUCGGGCAGUAUACUGUUCGGUGACACACCUAACGGAUUAAGCAUCCG
rnacentral:rRNA from 1 species